GACGAACGCUGGCGGCGUGCCUAAUACAUGCAAGUAGAACGCUGAAGGAGGAGCUUGCUUCUCUGGAUGAGUUGCGAACGGGUGAGUAACGCGUAGGUAACCUGCCUGGUAGCGGGGGAUAACUAUUGGAAACGAUAGCUAAUACCGCAUAAUAGUAGAUGUUGCAUGACAUUUGCUUAAAAGGUGCAAUUGCAUCACUACCAGAUGGACCUGCGUUGUAUUAGCUAGUUGGUGGGGUAACGGCUCACCAAGGCGACGAUACAUAGCCGACCUGAGAGGGUGAUCGGCCACACUGAGACGGAGACACGGCCCAGACUGCUACGGGAGGCAGCAGUAGGGAGUCUUCAGCAAUGGACGGAAGUCAGACCGAGCAACGCCGCGUGAGUGAAGAAGGUUUUCGGGUCGUAAAGCUCUGUUGUAAGAGAAGAACGAGUGUGAGAGUGGAAAGUUCACACUGUGACGGUAUCUUACCAGAAAGGGACGGCUAACUACGUG
rnacentral:rRNA from 1 species